CCUCCGUCCGUCCGUCCGUCCCGGCCCUCGGGGCCCAGGAGUGGGCCCGGCGGCUGCGCCCAGGACGGCGCUCCGGAGGCUCCCGGGCUUCGGAACCGGGAUCUCGCCGUCGUGACUCGUGCGGUCUGGCUGCUUCAACAUUCCACUAGCAAAAUCAGCUGUGGCAGACAGGCCAAAAGGAGACCUGUCCCUGGUGACAGUCCCUCAAGGUGGGUUGAUCUCACAUCUGCUUCCUGGUCCAUGCCGUCUCAGAUCUUGUUACGGAAGGCUUAAGAACUGGACUCACUGGUGGCCUGGAGUCAGUGAGACAGAGACGCCAGAUCUUCCCUGGUGUGAAGUGGAGGGGAGGCCAGAGGCUUAGAAGGACAGGCUUGCUGGACUGGAUUCAUCCCGUGAAUUGUCUUGUGCUCCAGUCAUUAGCUAAAUACUAACAUCUCUGCUGUAAUCCCCAGAACCUGUGACUAUGUUAUUUUACAUGGCAAAAUUAAUUUGCAGAUGGGUUUAAGGUUGCUAAUCAGCUGCCCUUAAAAUGGGGAUUGUAUCCUGGAUUAUUCCUGUGGACCUUGGAAAGCAGAAGAGGAGCAGACUUGGUAGUAUGUGCCUCUAGACCCAGCUGCUCAAGGAUGUAGGCGACAGGAUGGCUCAGCCCAGGAGUUCAUACCUGGGCAACACUGUGAGACACCAUCUCGAAAAAAGAACACAAGUGGAAAAGUGAGAGAGACAACAAUUAAAGAAAAAAACAAAAACAAAACUGAGGAGCGAUUGAAAGCAUGAGAGGAAACCGAACGGCCAUGACUGACUCAAGACGGAGGAAGGGGACCACAAGCCAGAGAAGGCAGAGGCCUGUGGAAGGGGAGAACGGGGUGCACCGUGGGUGCCAUGACUGACAGCAGAGGUCUAUGGAAUCGUCUCCUGCGUGAUGCAGAUAGUGCUGGAGAUGACCGGACAGUGAGUCUGCAAGCAAUUCUAGACCCCAAGAAGGAGCACACAGCCAGAACCAACCAUCUCAAUGUGGACUUUCAAUGGGUAGAACCCUGCAGGUGUCCGACAYGAAUCUCAGAGAAAUGGAAAAUUAGGAAACAAUUUUUACAAAGAAACAGAAGGCAGCAUUGCUGGAGCACAUGAAAAAUGCUGGGCACAAAAAGCAGAAUCUUCAAGCCAAACGAAUACAAAAAAAAAUUGCCCAGAGCAUGAUGCUUUGGCAAAAAAGAUCCAGCAUCAUCCAGACAGGCACAAGACACUAAAGGAACUGGAGGCUCUGAGGAAAGAAUCAGCACACCUUUCACAGACUCAAGAAAGCACUGGAGAUAAGCUGGAAUUGAGACAGAAACAGCCUCACGUUCUUCUCAUACCAUACACCAUUCAGCAAACCCUGGAAAAUGAUAAAAAGCUCUAAGACAGAAGCUCAGGAAACAAACAUGGACAGGCUGAUCCCCAUUCCCAAGGGUACUGGCAGAGCUUGGUGAUCUUAAGUGUGUCUAGAAUAUCCUAAGAUAUCUGAAGCUUGGUGGUGACAUACUGUGUUCUUACAUAUUAAUGAUAAUUAAUAUUAAAAAUAAAUGAGAACACACUUAUUUUAAUAUAAAGGAAAACAGCUUCAGUGUCUGUUUGUUUUAUUGAAAUGAAUUUUUCAUUUUUAAAAGAUAGGCAGCAACACCCACAAUCAUUUAAUAAAGGUCUUCAAACUAGA